GCAGAUUUCAAUUGGGAUGAUGAAAUUCAACGUCUGAACAUCUCUCAACCAGAAAUCCAGAGUGCUGCUCAAAACAUAGCAUUCAUGACUUCAGAGGAAAAGGACUCUUCGCCAGAUGCUGAGCCUCAAGCUGAGAACUUUGCAUUCAUGACCAAAAUCCUGUCAGCUCCUGUUCAUGGACUCACUGCUGAAGAGAAAAAGUUGAUGUGAAAUGUGAAGAGACACUUGGGGGAGAACAAGUUUUAAAUUCUGAUUCACAAAAACCUUGUUUUGAUGAAAAUAAUCCUGAUCUUAUUUUGGGACAAAGUAUUUUUAGCAUGUUACUUUCUUUAGCUGGUAAUGGGCCUGAUGUUUUGGGCAAGACUGAUGAUGUUUGUGUUGAAACUGUGAACGUUAAUUAUGGUGAUGAUUUUUCUUCGGUUAA